rnacentral:rRNA from 1 species
UGAUCCUGGCUCAGGACGAACGCUGGCGGCGUGCCUAAUACAUGCAAGUAGAACGCUGAAGGAGGAGCUUGCUUCUCUGGAUGAGUUGCGAACGGGUGAGUAACGCGUAGGUAACCUGCCUGGUAGCGGGGGAUAACUAUUGGAAACGAUAGCUAAUACCGCAUAACAGUAGAUGUUGCAUGACAUUUGCUUAAAAGGUGCAAUUGCAUCACUACCAGAUGGACCUGCGUUG